rnacentral:lncRNA from 1 species
AAACAUAUGUUUUUGGACAUUAUUGAGCCCAGCCUACGGAGCCGGGAAUCUACUCUCGGCAGACAUUCAGGAGAGGCGGGAGAGGGAGCAGCCAGCGAGGAGUGAGUCAAAGCCCCGCCAGAGUCUGUUCUGCCCAGCUUCCCGGGAGAAGCUGACAAGCCCUUUCCUUCCACAGACUCAGACCGCUUUCAUGUCCGUUCUCCCAAUGGACUUCCCAACGACUCCACGACAACAUAAACCAGACAAGGCUAAGGUUUAGGAUUAGGCACGUAAGAGGAAAGCAACAGUAGAGAAGAGAAUGGAGUGUGAGUGCAUGGAGAAGGGUUUCCUCUCCUGGCCACCUUUCUUCCUCAGCAGAUUCUAGAAGUUCUGCCUCUCCCAAGAGAGGGAGGCAUGGCAUGGAAGGUGGCAGGAGGAGCUCUAGAGAAGCCCUGGAUCUUCUGACUUGAGUGUGGCCAGUGGACCAUCGAGGAGAACCAUUGCAUCCCAGAACAUCAAUUCAGGGAGGGAAUUUAGUAAUCAUGAUGUCUAGCCCCUCCCUCAUUUUAUAGAGAAAGAAAUGGAGGCCCAGAGAAAGGAAAUAACUUGCCCAGGAUCACUUAGAAUCCACAUUUGAACCCCAGGUCAUAGAUUUACAAUCUCACUGAGGCCAUCUAGUCCAAACUAUACCUAUACUUAUAUACAAGCUUCAGAGCUUAUCCGACAUCUCUUUCUGGAUAAAUAAAUGUCUCUACUUAAGCCCA